GACGAACGCUGGCGGCGUGCUUAACACAUGCAAGUCGAACGGAAAGGCCCUGCUUUUGUGGGGUGCUCGAGUGGCGAACGGGUGAGUAACACGUGAGUAACCUGCCCUUGACUUUGGGAUAACUUCAGGAAACUGGGGCUAAUACCGGAUAGGAGCUCCUGCUGCAUGGUGGGGGUUGGAAAGUUUCGGCGGUUGGGGAUGGACUCGCGGCUUAUAAGCUUGUUGGUGGGGUAGUGGCUUACCAAGGCUUUGACGGGUAGCCGGUCUGGGAGGGGGACCGGCCACAUUGGGACUGAGAUACGGCCCAGACUCCUACGGGAGGCAGCAGUGGGGAAUAUUGCACAAUGGGCGGAAGCCUGAUGCAGCAACGCCGCGUGCGGGAUGACGGCCUUCGGGUUGAAAACCGCUUUCGCCUGUGACGAAGCGUGAGUGACGGUAAUGGGUAAAGAAGCACCGGCUAACUACGUG
rnacentral:rRNA from 1 species